rnacentral:pre_miRNA from 1 species
CACCAAGAUAUGGUUACACUUUGUGUGGUAUGGUAGCUCUGUGUAUAUAUAUAUAUAUAUAUAUAUAGUUACCAUACCACACAAAGUGUAACCAAAUC